GCACACUACGGGCGUAUGGUGGAUGCCUCGACACCAAUGAGCGAAGAAGGACGUCGGAGCCUGCGAAAAGCCUCGGGGAGGUGGCAACCAACCUUUGAUCCGGGGAUGUCCGAAUGGGGGAACCCAUCUAGUGCCUUUAUGGUCCUAGAUACCCAUGCCUGAAUAUAUAGGGUAUGAGGAGUGCACCGAGCGAACUGAAACAUCUUAGUAGCUCGAGGAAGAGAAAAAAAGGUCGGCUUGAAUGGCCGGUGCUGAUAGUGUGGUGGUAACAUCGCGCUUGAUCAUCGACUCUUCUGGUCGGCGUAUUCCCUGAGUAGUGGCGAGCGAAACGGGAACAGUCCAAACCUUUAGAGUUCCUUCCGCAAGGGAGGAAGGUUCACAAGACCGGAUAUUCUAGAGGGGUUGCGAGUUUGCAACGUCUAAAGCUUGUGACUUUAGGAGUAAAGCGCAUGUUUGACCUCUCCCCCUUACUCCCCCUCUCCUUAAUAAGGAGAGAGGGUCGGGGGGUGUGGUCGGACCAGCUGAUAGCCGAAGCGGCCUGGAACGGCCCACCACAGACGGCGAUUGUCCGGUAGGCGAAAUCAGCCCUCAAAAGCUUUACUGGUUGUAUUCUCAAGUACGGCGGGACUCGUGAAAUCCUGUCGGAAGCCGGGAGGACUAGCCUCCCAAGACUAAAUAUCAUUGGUGAUCGAUAGUGAAUCAGUACCGUGAGGGAAAGGUGAAAAGCACCCCGGUGAGGGGAAUGAAAUAGUAUCUGAAACCAUACGCUUACAAACAGUUGCGGCUCCGCAAGGAGUUGCAGCGUGCCUAUUGAAGAAUGAACCUACGAGUUGUUCCGGAUCGCUUAGAUCAAGGUCUUCAAGACCGACGUCGAAGUGAAAGCGAGCCUGCAAGGGCGUUGCCUUAUGAGAGUGUCAUGACCCCGCCGAAAGGCGGGGCCCGGACACUCUUGUUUGGCCGGUGAUCCGGAACAGACCCGAAGCCGGGUGAGCUACCCAUGACCAGGAUGAAGCGGCAGUAAAAUGCCGUGGAGGUCCGAACCCGUGAGCUGUGCAACACUCUGGGAUGAGUUGUGGGUAGAGGAGAAAUUCCAAUCGAACUCGGCGAUAGCUGGUUCUCCGCGAAAUAGCUUUUGGGCUAGCGUCGUCUGUUUCCCUGUGGUGGUAGAGCACUGAAUGGGACAACGUGGAGCAAUCCUAGUUGUUCCAACCAAACUCCGAAUGCCACAGGAUUAAAGGACGGCAGUCAGUACGUGGGGGCUAAGCUCCACGGAACGUGAGGGGAAGAACCCAGAUCGUCGGCUAAGGUCCCAAAAUCGCUGCUCAGUGUCAAAGGUAGUGUCCGAACUUCAACAACCAGGAGGUUGGCUUAGAAGCAGCCAUCCUUUAAAGAAAGCGUAACAGCUCACUGGUCGAGUUCGAGCGCGCCGAAAAUGUAUCGGGGCUUAAGCAGCGUACCGAAGCCGCGAAUUUUCGUCUCAGCGAUGAGGCGGGAGUGGUAGCGGAGCGUUCUGUCAUUGCCGAAGCGGGAGGGCGACCGACCGUGGAGAUGACAGAAGUGAGAAUGUAGGUAUAAGUAGCACAACAGCGGGUGAGAACCCCGCUCGCCGUAAACCCAAGGUUUCCUGGGCAACGCAGAUCGACCCAGGGUUAGUCGGGCCUAAGUCGAGGCCGAAAGGCGUAGAUGAUGGACAGCCGGUCAAUAUUCCGGCACGACAAUGCGAUUAUCCCGUCAAUGACGCGGGCGUAGAUUCCGUACGGUCUCAUGGUUAUGGCCGUGCCGCAAGGCGCAGGCAAGUUCGCAAGGACGAGCCAAUACGGGAAACGCGAACGCCGAGAAAAGUUGGCGGGUCACGUCGUAGUGUCCCCGUACCGUAAACCGACACAGGUGGGUGGGCAGCAAAUCUGCCAAGGCGCACGAGAGAACCCUUCGUUUAGGAACUCGGCAAAACAAUGGCCGUACCUUCGGUACAUGGCCUGCCCGGUCGCAAGAUCGGGCUGCAAUAAAUGACGUCAACCGACUGUUUACCAAAAACACAGGUCCCUGCGAAAGCGCAAGCUGAUGUAUAGGGGCUGAUGCCUGGCCAGUGUCAGAACGUUAAGGGGAGGGGUGCAAGCUCCGAUCCGAAGCGCUGAUGAACGCCGGCGGUAACUAUAACCGUCCUAAGGUAGCGAAAUUCCUUGUCGGGUAAGUUCCGACCUGCACGAAUGGCAUAACGAGUUGACGACUCUCUCAACGAGGGACUCGGCGAAAUUACAAGACGAGUAAAGAUGCUCGUUACUCAUCGUUAGACGAAAAGACCCCGUGAAGCUUUACUAUAGUUUGGCAUUGCCUGCACGUGGUGUGUGCUGAGAAUAGGUGGGAGACUUUGAAGUCCUGGCUCUGGCUGGGAUGGAGUCGCAAUAUGAGAUACCACCCUCGCGCCAUGUGCCGGCUCACCUGAUGACCUUAUCGGCCAUUGGGGACAGUGCCUGAUGGGUAGUUUAACUGGGGCGGUUGCCUCCUAAAAUGUAACGGAGGCGUUCACAAAGGUCGGCUAGGUUGGAAUGGAAACCCAACCAAUAGGGCAAACCCAUAUGCCGGCUUCACUGCAAGACCAACCAGUCGAGCAGACACGAAAGUGGGAGUUAGUGAUCCGACGAUCGCUUAUAGGCGCGUCGAAGCUCAACGGACAAAAGUUACUCCGGGGAUAACAGGCUGAUCUCCUCCAAGAGUCCACAUCGACGAGGAGGUUUGGCACCUCGAUGUCGGCUCAUCGCAUCCUGGGGCUGGAGAAGGUCCCAAGGGUUUGGCUGUUCGCCAAUUAAAGCGGUACGUGAGCUGGGUUCAGAACGUCGUGAGACAGUUCGGUCUCCUAUCUACGAUGAGCGUUGAAACUUGCGAAGUCUCUUCCCUAGUACGAGAGGACCGGGAAGGACGAACCUCUUGUGUACCGGCUAUUCCACCAGGUGUAGCGCCGGGUAGCGACGUUCGGUUUAGAUAAACGCUGAAAGCAUCUAAGCGUGAAGCUGUCUUCAAGAUCAGGUUUCGUUAUCAGGCUCCUGGGAGAUAACCAGGUUAAUAGGCGGUAGGUCGAAGCGCAGCAAUGCGUGUAGCCGAGCCGUCCUACGUGUCCGAGUGC
rnacentral:rRNA from 1 species